CGGUUUAAUUGGAUUCAACGCCGGAAAUCUUACGGGACGACAGCAAUAUGAAGGCCAGGCUGAAGACUUUGCCGGAUUAGCUGAGAGGUGGUGCAUGGCCGUCGUCAGUUCGUACUGUGAAGCAUCCUGUUAAGUCAGGCAACGAGCGAGACCCACGCCCACAGUUGCCAGCGUACUCUCUGGAGUGACGGGUACACUGUGGGGACCGCCGCUGCUAAAGCGGAGGAAGGAAUGGGCAACGGUAGGUCAGUAUGCCCCGAAUAUCCCGGGCUACACGCGAGCUACAAUGGUUGGGACAAUGGGUAUCGACACCGAAAGGUGAAGGCAAUCUCCUAAACCCAUCCGUAGUUCGGAUUGUGGGCUGCAACUCGCCCACAUGAAGCUGGAAUCUGUAGUAAUCGUGUCUCAAAAUGGCACGGUGAAUAUGUCCCUGCUCCUU
rnacentral:rRNA from 1 species